rnacentral:rRNA from 1 species
ACGGAGGAUCCAAGCGUUAUCCGGAAUCAUUGGGUUUAAAGGGUCCGUAGGCGGCCUUAUAAGUCAGUGGUGAAAUCUCCUAGCUCAACUAGGAAACUGCCAUUGAUACUGUAGGGCUUGAAUUAUUAGGAAGUAACUAGAAUAUGUAGUGUAGCGGUGAAAUGCUUAGAUAUUACAUGGAAUACCAAUUGCGAAGGCAGGUUACUACUAAUGGAUUGACGCUGAUGGACGAAAGCGUGGGGAGCGAACAGGAUUAGAUACCCUGGUAGUCCACGCCGUAAACGAUGGAUACUAGCUGUUGGGAGCAAUCUCAGUGGCUAAGCGAAAGUGAUAAGUAUCCCACCUGGGGAGUACGUUCGCAAGAAUG